rnacentral:rRNA from 1 species
GACGAACGCUGGCGGCGUGCUUAACACAUGCAAGUCGAACGGAAAGGCCCUGCUUUUGUGGGGUGCUCGAGUGGCGAACGGGUGAGUAACACGUGAGUAACCUGCCCUUGACUUUGGGAUAACUUCAGGAAACUGGGGCUAAUACCGGAUAGGAGCUCCUGCUGCAUGGUGGGGGUUGGAAAGUUUCGGCGGUUGGGGAUGGACUCGCGGCUUAUCAGCUUGUUGGUGGGGUAGUGGCUUACCAAGGCUUUGACGGGUAGCCGGCCUGAGAGGGUGACCGGCCACAUUGGGACUGAGAUACGGCCCAGACUCCUACGGGAGGCAGCAGUGGGGAAGAGUGCACAAGGGGCGGAAGCCUGAUGCAGCAACGCCGCGUGCGGGAUGACGGCCUUCGGGUUGUAAACCGCUUUCGCCUGUGACGAAGCGUGAGUGACGGUAAUGGGUAAAUAAGCACCGGCUAACUACGUG